AAACGCAUCAGACAGCCGCCAGAUCUGGAAAAAAAAAAGUCCCCCCGGGUCAACAAUUCAACUUGUGUUGGUAUAAAACGCCAAUUCAUCUUCAUGGGCUCUCUGGAUAAAAGCUUGGAAGCUGAAGUCGUCACUGUUGAUGUUAAGGCAGCCAAGGUUUUUCUUGAGUCUGGCUACGUUUAUCUAGAUGUUAGGACGGUGGAAGAGUUCAAGAAAGGACAUGUGC
rnacentral:misc_RNA from 1 species